UAGUUCGCGGGUCUUCAUUUCGCUCAAAAUUUAUCCAUGUGUUUCGCCCUAUAUUCAAUUCCUAUUUCCUCUUCGAUAAGCCAUUUUCCUUCAUUCCAAAACCAAAAAUAUCAGAGUCUGGUUUUCCACUCUUUCUUCAUUUCUUAAAUUGGAAACAGAAAUCCAAAGAGAAAAAAGUUGGAAAUCUCAAAAUUCGUGUUUGGGUAGGGUUCUCCUUUCUCCUCUCUCCUUACAUCGUUUCCCUCUCUCAUCUGCACAACUAGACUUCUCCAUUUUCAGAUCUGGUUUUCAUAUUUUUAAUUUCUCUUUGGACCAAGAAUUUGUAGACAAGAUGAUGAUUUCAUAUGAUCUUGUCAGCUUCUUCUCAUGGUACUCAUCUUGCAGCUCAGGAUUUCACUUUCUAAUUUCUGUUUAGAUACAUUUGCAGACAAGGUGAGGAUUCUAUACAUUAGUUUUAUACUUAGUUGCUGAUGUAGUUUAAAUUUUUGAGAGCUGCAUUCAUCUUAUCUUGUCUCCAUCCUUGCCCAUAGUCAUAUAUGCAAUAGUUUUCCAGAUUUUCCCAAAAUCAAGUACCGUUAGUGAAUAUAUGAUCAGGAAACCUGUACAAAGUGGCUGUGGAGAAAAAGUGCUCACCUCUGAAUUUCAGUUCUUUCUUUCUUUCUUUCUUCUCAGUCUUCUCUAUGUUUGUAUGUGUUUCGGUCAACAUCUUGUUUGUGCAUGUUAUAAUACUGAUUUGUUGUUGCUCUGAUUUAGUGCAGUGCAGAUGAAAAGAAAAUGGGUUAUUUUGCUAACAUUUCAGAUGGUGCGUAGCCUUUGCCAUAGGUAGUUUUAUUAUUAAAGAUUUGAGCUUUCUAAUUUAUAUUUGGAGUUUAACCUUUCAUUCUUGGGCUGUGAUUUUUGAAGUUUUUAGUUUUUCAAGUUCUAUUUGGACAAUACAUUUGCAU